GCCCUUUUGCUCUCUAGUGGGAAGCUGAGGGUUGGGGACCCACAUCUAGGCUGUGUUCAAGACCAAAGAGCCAUUCCUCAUCAGGGAGACAGUGAAUCUGAUGGUUCCAAGGAUGAGAGUUGGAAACUGCCCGUCCAUAAGAAGCCCCCACUGUGGGUCUGUGGUCACUGGACAUUUUGUCUGUGGUUGUAUCUCUGGCCACCAUUUGCUGGGCCGUGGCUGUGGAGGGCAGCUGGUGUUUCUGUUUCUUUCUGGGCACGCUGCCUGGCUGGCCAGUCUCAGAGGCCACAUGUAUUUUUCCUCAUAGUCUGAAGGAGACAGAUAAACUGAAGCUUCAGGUUGGAGGGCAGUGAUGGGCAAGUGCUAUACAGAGCCUUCUGGGUCUGAUAAGCCCACAGAGAGCUUUGUUUUCCUUCUCAAAUUUCUUUUUUUAAAAGGCAGAAUGUCGCCCAGACUUGUCUCCAACUCCUGCUCAACAAUACCUCCUUGCUGGGCCGUGGUGGGACACCUUUAAUCCAAGAACUCAGGAGACAGAGGCCAGUGGAUCUCUGAGUUCCAGCCAGGGCUGUACAGAGAAACCCUCCAACAAACAAACAAACAAAACAAAACAAAAGAGUACUUCCUGCCUCGUCCUCCUAAGUACUGGGACUACAGAGUGUAUCGUUUAUUUUAAUUAACUCAUGUCGUAUUACAAUAAUUAGAGACUAGAUUAUUACUUCCUUCUUCAGAAAGGUACAUUGGGCAGAGAGGGGCUAAUUUACUUACCCAGGGUCUCAAAAUCAGGUGGAAAACUCCCAGUUUAACUGUACCACCUGAUUCUCAGGCUGCGCCCUGCUUCCCAAGGGAGGUCCAUCUGUGGAGCCCAAUAGUCCUCGGGGGUAAGGAACAGAGAGGAUGCCCACGGUGUUGUUUGCUUUUUUAACACUAGGGAAAACCCCGGCCUAGUGUUUGUUCCAUGUGCAUUCUGCCACUGAGUCAGACAUGCACAGCCCCUUCCUGUGGACUCUUCCCCCUAGCAGGUAGAGGGAGACAGGGCAGCUAGGUGUAUGAAUGGGGAAGCUGGAACUUUAGUGCCAGGGACCUUUAUGGUGGGGUUUCCCCCACGAACCAUCCUGGCAGAUGUCCACAGCAGAUGUCUCCAGUUCACUGUGUCUUACUCUCUGACUCUUCUCCCUCGACUUUCGCUGGUCCAAACAGGGAUAUUUCCGACAAAAGGGUGGUAGCAUCUACCCUGAGCUAAACAAGAUGAAAGGCAACCAUUUCUAGAGGUGCUGCCAUCUUGAAAAUUGAGUUCUUAGUUGGCUUUAUGGGCAUUUAUCCUCACAGACAUGUUAGCCUUCCAAAAACAUUCAAACAAAACCAAGUGAAAUCAAGGGAACAGAAAACAGAGGACAAGUGUUUUGUGCUCUCUUCUCUUCUCCCACCCCUCUCCCUCUCCCUCUCCCCCUCCCCACCUCCCCCUCUCUGUCUCUGUUGGUGUCAAGUGACUUCCUCAGUCAUUCUCUACAUUUCCCUGUGUGUGACAGGACUCUUCACUCACCGAUUUAGUAGACUGGCUGGCCAGUGGGCUCUAGGGAUACUCCAGUCUCUGCCUCCCCAGCACUCGGAUUCUAGGCUCAGAGCACUACACUAGCCUUCCCAUGGUCCUCGUGAUCCCAGCUCAGACCCCUAUGCUUAUAUAGGCCUGGAGUUUACAGACUGAGCCAUAUCCUAGCCCUGGUUUGCCUUAAGUUACCCUUCUUCCCCAGUAAUGCAAACAGACAUUAGGAAGUACUUAGGAGCCAGGUGUUUCCCUACUGGCCCCUGGAUCGGCCUAAGAAGGGCAGUGUGCUUUCUGGCACUAUGCCUGGAAGGGUGAGGAUAGCUAAACCCUGGCCCAGGACUGGGCUGUGUGGAAGAAGGCAGCCAAAUGUAGUGAGAGUUUGCCUAUCUGUGUGUCGUGAGACACAGGACAGAUGCUUUUUUGCAGUUUCCUGCAUAGUUUCUCUAGUCUGGAGGGAUCUCCUGGCCCAUAGUGGGUCUACUGUCACCAUGAUGGCCACAGCCAGGGAAGGCCUGUACUGCCUUAGGCUACUGUUCCCUCCU
rnacentral:lncRNA from 1 species